rnacentral:lncRNA from 15 species
AAGUAGAAUACGUUUAUAGUAGGUGUGUGAAGGAUCAAUAAUCAUUAUUAUUGGCAGUAAUAGAGGGCCCCAAAAUCAAAUUUUUCUUAGGGCCUCAUGGAGGCUUGGGCCGGCCCUGCUCGGGAGACAUCGCUGGGUUGAAGUUAUGCAGCCCACAGGACCUUUUCUCUCUACGCAAGAGAAUGCUGCUCUCCCCUCUGAGGAGAUAGAAUGUUGACAAUUCGCGGGCAUAGGCUACUACAAUUCCCUUAAUGACAAGGCUAUGUAGAACAACAUGUAUCAGCCUUGGCUUACCAAUAUAAUGGUCAUAUUUGAUGCAACAAAGUAUGGAGGAAAGAGGGAAAUGUCAAAACUUGUUUGAUAUCAAUAUAGGCUAGUUUAGGUAUCAAUAUGUAGUUUAGAGUUUAGGUUGUUUCAUUAGUGUAUGUAUAUUACAAUUUACUCUAUACCUUCCUGUCCCAUAGAGACUGACAGAGUAGCCUAUCUGCAAACUGCACUUGGAUAGGUAGCCUAAGGCAUAAAAAAUCUUUGUUCGAUGUUGGAGUGUAUUUUUUACAGUCACAAUAUCACAGUAUGACUAACCCACAACCUGCUCCACAGUAUUUUUUCAUUAGAAAGACCAACAUCUAUCGUCAGUAUGACAGGUAAAUGGUGCCAUAUUUGCCAGACACAUGGCAAUGCGGAGCAGUUGGCAGUGCUUGAGGUUAGGAAUAAGUGAAUGGUUGAGAGUAAUUAUUUGCAAUACUUUUUAAUAACAUUGAAGAACAACACUGACUUUGUCCUUGUCCUUACACAGACAUUAUGAAUAACAGAAAGUUUUGCCAUUGAGCUACACACACCUUAUUUGUGUGAUGGAGCCGAGCGGGGAUGCAAACAGUUACAGAGCAGAGGUCAAAGUGAGGAUGGAGACCAGAGAGGAGGUGGACAAAUGGCUGGCGCAUUUCCAGACUUCCUCCACCCUAACGUGGAGGAAAGCAAGAACCUAUCCUGAAUCAGGGAGGUAUAACGCUUACAGAGCUGACUUCCGUUGCCAGCACAAGACUUAUGGAGCUGGGAAAAACUCCAGGAAUACCAACUGCCCUGCCACCCUGUUCCUUGUGCUAAAAAGGAGCACAGAUGACAGGAGGUCAAGAUCAACAGAUGUGCAUAUGCAGGAGGGAUAGCUCCUUUAUGUCAAGCAUGAGCACAAUCAUCGCCUCUCCUGUGCUGAUGCCCUCAGCAAGAGG